GAUGAAGAACGUAGCGAAAUGCGAUACGUAAUGUGAAUUGCAGAAUUCAGUGAAUCAUCGAAUCUUUGAACGCAUAUUGCGCUCUCUGGUAUUCCGGAGAGCAUGCUUGUUUGAGUAUCAGUAAACACCUCAACUUCCAUAUCUUUUUUGAAAUGGGAGUUGGACUUGAGUGAUCCCAACGCUUUUCCUCACCGAAAAGUGGCGGGUUACUUGAAAUGCAGGUGCAGCUGGACUUUUCUCUGAGCUAUAAGCAUAUCUAUUUAGUCUGCCUAAAAAACAGAUUAUUACCUUUGCUGCAGCUAACAUAAAGGAGAUUAGUUCUUGUGCUGACUGAUGCAGGAUUCACAAAGACAGGCUUCGGCCGGCUUUGUAAACUCGAUCUCAAAUCAAGUAAGACUACCCGCUGAACUUAAGCAUAUCAAUAGCGGAGGA
rnacentral:misc_RNA from 1 species